CCUACGGGAGGCAGCAGUGAGGAAUAUUGGUCAAUGGACGCAAGUCUGAACCAGCCAUGCCGCGUGCAGGAAGACGGCUCUAUGAGUUGUAAACUGCUUUUGUACGAGGGUAAACGCACAUACGCGUAUCUGUUUGAAAGUAUCGUACGAAUAAGGAUCGGCUAACUCCGUGCCAGCAGCCGCGGUAAUACGGAGGAUUCAAGCGUUAUCCGGAUUUAUUGGGUUUAAAGGGAGCGUAGGCGGUAGGAUAAGUUAGAGGUGAAAUCCCGAGGCUCAACUUGGGACUUGCAUCUGAUACUGUUCGGCUAGAGAGUAGUUGAGGUAGGCGGAAUGUGUGGUGUAGCGGUGAAAUGCUUAGAGAUCAUGAAGAACACCGAUUGCGAAGGCAGCUUAC
rnacentral:rRNA from 1 species